rnacentral:rRNA from 1 species
AAGACCUUGCGCUUUUGGAGCGGCCGAUGUCUGAUUAGCUUGUUGGUGAGGUAAAAGCUUACCAAGGCUUCGAUCAGUAGCUGGUCUGAGAGGACGGCCAGCCACACUGGGACUGAGACACGGCCCAGACUCCUACGGGAGGCAGCAGUGGGGAAUUUUGGACAAUGGGGGCAACCCUGAUCCAGCCAUGCCGCGUGAGUGAAGAAGGCCUUCGGGUUGUAAAGCUCUUUCAGCCGGAACGAAACGGUUACGGUUAAUACCCGUGACUACUGACGGUACCGGAAGAAGAAGCACCAGCUAACUACGUGCCAGCAGCCGCGGUAAUACGUAGGGUGCAAGCGUUAAUCGGAAUUACUGGGCGUAAAGCGUGCGCAGGUGGUUUUGUAAGUCAGAUGUGAAAUCCCCGGGCUUAACCUGGGAACU